GAUGAACGCUGGCGGUAUGCUUAACACAUGCAAGUCGAACGGACUCUUCGGAGUUAGUGGCGGACGGGUGAGUAACGCGUGAGAAUCUGGCUUUGGGUUCGGGACAACCACUGGAAACGGUUGCUAAUACCGGAUGUGCCGAGAGGUAAAAGAGAAAUUGCCUGAAGAUGAGCUCGCGUCUGAUUAGCUAGUUGGUGAGGUAAAGGCUCACCAAGGCAGCGAUCAGUAGCUGGUCUGAGAGGAUGACCAGCCACACUGGGACUGAGACACGGCCCAGACUCCUACGGGAGGCAGCAGUGGGGAAUUUUACGCAAUGGGCGAAAGCCUGACGGAGCAAUACCGCGUGAGGGAAGAAGGCUCUUGGGUUGUAAAACUCUUUUCUUAGGGAAGAACAAAAUGACGGUACCUAAGGAAUCAGCACCGGCUAACUCCGUG
rnacentral:rRNA from 1 species